rnacentral:rRNA from 1 species
CAGUAGCCGCGGUAAUACGAAGGGGGCUAGCGUUGUUCGGAUUUACUGGGCGUAAAGCGCACGUAGGCGGAUUGAUCAGUCAGGGGUGAAAUCCCAGAGCUCAACUCUGGAACUGCCUUUGAUACUGUCGAUCUGGAGUAUGGAAGAGGUGAGUGGAAUUCCGAGUGUAGAGGUGAAAUUCGUAGAUAUUCGGAGGAACACCAGUGGCGAAGGCGGCUCACUGGUCCAUUACUGACGCUGAGGUGCGAAAGCGUGGGGAGCAAACAGGAUUAGAUACCCCAGUAGUCCCUGUCUCUUAUAA